rnacentral:rRNA from 1 species
AGUGAACGCUGGCGGUAGGCCUAACACAUGCAAGUCGAACGGCAGCACAGUAAGAGCUUGCUCUUACGGGUGGCGAGUGGCGGACGGGUGAAGAAUACAUCGGAACCUACUUUUUCGUGGGGGAUAACGUAGGGAAACUUACGCUAAUACCGCAUACGACCUACGGGUGAAAGCAGGGGAUCUUCGGACCUUGCGCGAUUGAAUGAGCCGAUGUCGGAUUAGCUAGUUGGCGGGGUAAAGGCCCACCAAGGCGACGAUCCGUAGCUGGUCUGAGAGGAUGAUCAGCCACACUGGAACUGAGACACGGUCCAGACUCCUACGGGAGGCAGCAGUGGGGAAUAUUGGACAAUGGGCGCAAGCCUGAUCCAGCCAUACCGCGUGGGUGAAGAAGGCCUUCGGGUUGUAAAGCCCUUUUGUUGGGAAAGAAAAGCAGCAGGUUAAUACCCCGCUGUUCUGACGGUACCCAAAGAAUAAGCACCGGCUAACUUCGU